UCACAGUAACGCCACAGUCCUCCCCCCCAAGCGACGACUACGUUGCGAAAUGGACUUUCUUCUUAGCUGGGAACUGCAGGCACAACUGAUGGUACAACUGAUGUGGUUGUAGAUGUAGAUGAAGUUCUCGAAGAGGAUGAAAGAAGAACAGAAGAAUCUUCCUUGGAAAAAAGGCUGGUUUCAGACGUUCCGUUGAGACGUUGACUAAUUUUCCUGAAAUGUCAAUAGUAAA